GUUCGUUUAAUGUGCUGAACCUUGUAGAAGAAGAAUUGUUUAGUUCCGAAAUGGUGAAAGUCACUCUGUGGAGAUGCAGACGUUAUCAAACUCCAUCCUUCUUGCUAUAAUUUUGUAGAAGCAUUGUCUCAUUGAAGGUCCCCAAGAACACAGUGACCUCCAUCGUUCUUAAAUGGAAAAAGUUUGGAACCACCAAGGCUCUUCCUAGAGCUGGCCACCCGGCCAAACUGAGCAAUCAGGGGAGAAGGGCCUUGUUUAGGGAGGUGACCAAGAACACGAUGGUCACUCUGACAGUGCUCUAGAGUUUCUCUGUGGAGAUGGGAGAAACUUCCAGAAGGACAACCAUCUCUGCAGCACUCCACCAAUCAGGCCUUUAUGGUAGAGUGGCAAGACAGAAUCCACUCCUCAGUAAAACGCACAUGUUUUGAGUUUGAGUUUGCCAAAAGGCACCUAAAGGACUCUCAGACAAUGAGAAACAAGAUUCUCUGGUCUGAUGAAACCAAGAUUGAACUUUGGCCUGAAUGCCAAGCAUCAGGUCUGGAGGAAACCUGGCACCAUCUCUUCGGUGAAGCAUGGUGGUGGCAGAAUCAUGCUGUGGGGAUGUUUUUUAGUGGCAGGCACUGGAAGACUAUAAUCAGGAUCGGAGCAAAGUACAGAGAGAUCCUUGAUGAAAACCUGUUCUAAAGCGCUCAGGACCUCAGACUGGGGCGAAGGUUCACCUUACAACAGGACAACGACCCUAAGCACACAGCCAAGACAAUGCAGGAGUGGCUUAAGGACAAGUCUCUGAAUGCCCAUGAGUGACCCAGCCAAAGUCCGGACUUGAACCCAAUCAAACAUCUCUGGAGAGACCUGAAAAUAGCUGUGCACCAACGCUCCCCAUCCAACCUGACAGAGCUUGAGAGGAUCUGCGGAGAAGAAUGGGAGAAACUCCCCAAAUACAGUUACAGUCCUGUCCCAUCGCUGCAACUCUUGUACGGACUCGGGAGAGGCGAAGUUCAAGAGCAACCCAGCCAAGCUGCACUGCUCAGGGAUGCAAAUUACACUGUUUUGAAUCCAAAACAGGUGACCGAUGUGAUUCGUGUAGAUCCAAUGAGAAAGGUUUGGAGGGGGGGGGUUGGAUCACUAUUGGCUGUAAGCGAACGAGUGAUGCGCGUUUGGAGCAAUACUGGCUGUAUCCAAGGCUCAGCCAAUCAUUGACAUAACAACAGAAUGCAGCGUAGCACCCGACUGAAGAGAGAAGAGACAACCAACUUACUAGCUACAGCAUCAGCUAGAGCUCUGGAAAGGCAGCUUGCCAGUUACAGCAUCAGCGAGAGCUCUGGAAAGGCAGCUUGCCAGUUACAGCAUCAGCGAGAGCUCUGGAAAGGCAGCUUACCAGUUACAGCAUCAGCGAGAGCUCUGGAAAGGCAGCUUGCCAGUUACAGCAUCAGCGAGAGCUCUGGAAAGGCAGCUUGCCAGUUACAGCAUCAGCGAGAGCUCUGGAAAGGCAGCUUGCCAGUUACAGCAUCAGCGAGAGCUUUGGAAAGGCAGCUUGCCAGCUACAGCAUCAGCGAGAGCUCUGGAAAGGCAGCUUGCCAGUUACAGCAUCAGCGAGAGCUCUGGAAAGGCAGCUUGCCAGUUACAGCAUCAGUGAGCGCUCUGGAAAGGCAGCUUGCCAGUUACACCAUCAGCGAGAGCUCUGGAAAGGCAGCUUGCUAGUUACAGCAUCAGCGAGAGCUCUGGAAAGGCAGCUUGCCAGUUACAGCAGCACGUCCCCCUGAAUGAUAACGAAGAGGUAACGUUAGGUGAGAAGCCUGACCAGGGAAGCGUACUUCAUGAGCUGUAACCGAAAAACAACUGGCAUUUGGAAAGUUUUAGGUGAGGGAGAAAGUGGUGGAACAAGUAUUAGCAUUGUGCAACAACAAAAAAAGUGUCACCUUUUUGGGCCCUCAGCAGUUUGCAUCCCUGACUGCUUCUUGACACAGUGCCAGCUUGACUCAGAAGCCAGCCGGAGGAAACACCUGGCGACCAUGUCAGCGUGCAUUGCGCCCAGCCCGCCACAGGAGUCGCUAGUGCACGAUGCGACAGUAACAUCCCGGCCGGCCAAACCCUCCCCUAACCCGGACAACACUGGGCCAAUUGUGCGCCGCCCUACGGGUCUCCCGGUCGCGGGCGGCUGCGACAGAGCCUGGACUCAAACCAGGUUCUCUAGUGGCACACCUAGCACUACGAUGCAGUGCCUUAGACCACUGCGCCACUCGGGAAGCCCUGAAAGAAAAAAAAAAAAAACAUUACUCAAUUUUAGAAUAAGGCUGUAACGUAACAAAAUGUGGAAAAAGUCAAGGGGUCUGAAUACUUUUCAAAGACACUGUAAGCUGCUGUAUAUACAGGGUCACUCAACCGUGUGGGAGUCAAAACCAUCAGUUUAGAAUUUCCUGUCAUGUACUGAGGAAAUGUAACAGUUUAGGGGGAGGAGUGGGGGAAGAGGGAGUAGUAGGGGAGGAGAGAGUGGGUGGGGGAGGAGUGGAGGUCAAUCUGGUUGUAUUGAAAUAGGAUCACCGCCUGGUAUGGCAACUGCUCGGCAUCCGACCGCAAGGUGCUACAGAGGGUUGUGCGUACUGCCCAAUACGUCACUUGGGCCAAGUUUCCUGCAAUCCAGGACCUACAGUGGCUUGCGAAAAUAUUCACACCCCUUGGCAUUUUUCAUAUUUUGUUGCCUUACAACCUGGAAUUAAAAUUAGAUUUUUGGGGGUUUGUAUCUUUUGAUUUACACAACAUGUCUACCACUUUGAAGAUGCAAAAUAAUUUUUAUUGUGAAAUAAACAAGAAAUAAGACAAAAAAACCCGGAAAACUUGAGCAUGCAUAACUAUUCACCCUCCCCAAAAGUCAAUACUUUGUAGAGCCACCUUUUGCAGCAAUUGCAGCUGCAAGUCUCUUGGGGUAUGUGAACCCAAAGCAUUGAGGUUAGCCUACAUCAUCCUCAGUAAAUACAGAAGUACCUGGAGGGUGAACCCAAAGCAUUGAGGUUAGCCUACAUCAUCCUCAGUAAAUACAGAAGUACCUGGAGUGUGAACCCAAAGCAUUGAGGUUAGCCUACAUCAUCCUCAGCAAAUACAUUAAGUGUAAUGGUCUGCAUAUCCAAUCAAACGUCACUAAUGGAUAAUAAAUUAUAAUCUAUAGAUCAUUUUACCACUCCCCUUCUCCCCUCCUUGGAAAACUCAGAUUGCCCUUGGUGUAUUCCAGUGGAGGCUGCUGAGGAGAGGACUGCUUAUAAUAAUGGCUGGAACGGAGCAAACCAUGUGUUUGAUGUAUUUGAUACAAUUCCGCUCCAGUUAUUACCACGAGCGCGUCCUCCCAAAUGAAGAUGCCACCAACCUCCUGUGGUGUAUUCCACAUCAGUUCUGUCAUUGUCAUUCUCACCAACGGCAUGAGCAUGUAGGGUCAACAUUUACCACCAAGUCAUUGGAUCUCUGUACGUACUUGAUGUUAUGAAACAACAAGCAAAUGGAAGAGUUGAGGGUUGGGACUGUGAGGCUGAGCUGAUUCUUUCUGUGGUACUCUCUACAUAUGAUCAUAGCUGCACAGAAUCUCUGUCUCCCCACUGUAAUUUCUGGUGUACAACAGGGAAAAUAACGAUGGCUUUCUGUCACGCCCUGACCUUAGAGAGCCUUUUUUAUUCUCUAUUUUGUUAGGUCAGGGUGUGACUUGGGUGGGCAAAUCUAUGUUUAUAUUUCUUUGUUGGCCUAGUAUGGUUCCCAAUCAGAGGCAGCUGUUUAUCGUUGUCUCUGAUUGGGGAUCAUACUUAGGCAGCCCUUUUUCCCACCUGUGAUUGUGGGAUCUUGUUUUUGUAUAGCUGCUGUGAAGCCUGCAGAACGUUACAUUCGGUUUUGUGUUUUGUUGGUGUUCAUCUAAUAAUAGAAAAAUGUACGCUUACCACGCUGCACCUUGGUCUCAUUCCGACAACGGACGUAACACUUUCUCUCUCCCCUCCCCACCCCUGCCCUACCCUCUCCUUCCUCUGUUUUAGCUGAAGGCCUGUCUGCCCUUACAAAAUAAACACGUCAAAUUUGUAGUUUGACAUGUGAAAAUCGUAUUUUCACAAUUUUGAGCUUACAUUUCAAAUGUGAAACCAUAUUUUCAUCUGUAUUAAAUGUGGAGUUAACACCACCUUUUCACAUGUAAGAAGAAAAACGUGUUUUCACCUCACGUGAAUUGUACGGUUUCACAUGUUAAAAACUCUCACGUAAGAAAACGUCACGUGAAAAUUUCACUUUCACAUAUGGAAUUGCAUUUUCACAUGUAGAAAACAAUCAUGUAAAAAUCACAUUUGCAGAAAACUCCUCGUGAAAAAUCUAUCUUUCACAUGUGGAAUUGCAAGUUCACAUGUGGUGGUGAAAUAGUGCUAUACUCCUCACAUGUGAAAAAGGUGGUGUUAACAUGUUUACACAUGGAAAUGCCAAUUCUGUGAAAAGGUCAUUUAUUAUUCUCAGGCUAAAUCAAUCACUAAUUUCUGAGCCAUCCAUUCAGAGUGUUACUGCUGCAGGUGCGCGCCUCUCUUCAUACGUUGGUCAGUGACAGUCGGAAGAAGCCCAGUGAAAAGAACAGAGAAGCUAGAGCUCCAUGUCUCCUUAUUUAUCCUGUUUAACAUGUUCAAAUUAGCGAGGUCAGAGUUCAUCAUGCUAACUCAAGUUAACAUUUUGUAAUUGUAGUGCACAAUUUUUUUUAUUUAAUGGCAUUGUAUGAAAGCGUUCAAAAUACACUCAAAACAUCCAACAUACAUUAUCUAUACAGCUAAAAACAAUGCAAUGUCAAUGGAGGCUAUAUGUAGUCUUUUCACAUUCCUGACCUUUGAUCUUUGUGACUGUGCAGUCUGAUGCUUGUUGUGUGUCUGAUCUGUAUAAUGAGUGAAGGUCUUUUUCAUUUAUUUUUUUUAUGUUGUCUGUCUGUUUGUCUAUUUUUGUAUCUUUAGGUUAUUUGUUUGUUUCUAUUGUUUUUGUUUUCUGGUAUGAUUUAUGUGUAUUUUUCUUACUCUCUAAAAGCCACAAAACAACAGCAAAAAACAAGUUGAUUUUGAGGUUUUAUGUAACUAGGCAAGUCAGUUAAGAACAAAUUCUUAUUUACAAUGACGGCCUACACCAGGCAAAAACCAGACGACGCUGGGCCAAUUGUGUGCCGCUAUAUGGGACUCCCAAUCACGGCCGGAUGUGAAGCGCCACACGGGUCUAAGACACUGCAUCUCAGUGCAAGAAGCGUCAUUUAUUUAUCCAUUUUUGUGUAAAAAAAAAUAAAAAAUCGUACAUAACAGCUCAAUUUGAGCAAAUUAUGAAAUUGCCAUUAAUCACGAUUGCUCAUAGCAAAUCUUGCAAUAAACUCGAUGUAUUGUUUUGAAUAAUGAAUAAACAGCCCUAGUUGACAUUAAACCGUGAAAGUAUAGCGGUCAUUUAUCGGUCAUGGUUGCUCAUGGUCACGUGAUGAGGUAGCCCCUCCUGUGACUACAAAGUUAGUGUUGUCCCUAUUGGUCAAGACGGGUUGUAAUCCCGCCAGUUACAAAAGCACAUAUGUAAAACUUAUAUCCGGUUGUGUAAAGUACUUAAGAAAGUACUACUUAAGUAGUUUUUUG
rnacentral:lncRNA from 1 species